GAGGGGUUAGCUGAGAGGUUUAGCUGUGAUCUUACACAUCAUCGACAGAGGUCCGAAUCCUCUACCCCCCA
rfam:Phlebia centrifuga strain FBCC195 PHLCENscaffold_2975, whole genome shotgun sequence.